rnacentral:misc_RNA from 1 species
CCUCCAGCGCAUCCCCAUCCGGUUUGCUUGCUUUAUUGAAUGACUGAUCCUACUAUUUCUCAAUCUUUGAUUAUAUUUGAAUGAUUUUUCACUCAUAGCAUACUGUGAUCUUUCGUUGGAACUACCCUGAAAUUGAGAGAAAAUUCCAAGCGCGACAAGGAUCGCCCAUUUGGAAAUGAGGAUCAGAUUCAGAAUUUGUGUCCAAGAAUAUGCCAUUUGAGCCUUUUUCCUAGUUGUUUUUGCUUCCAAGCUAGAAAUCGAAACAAAAAUAAUGGUGCACAUUGCCUACGAUUCCUUCGAGCUCCUCAGUGGCUGCCCCGUGAAAAUUUAUGCUAUCGAAUCCUACUGCUCAAAGCUUCUUGUCGGCUGCUCCGAUGGGGCCCUUCGAAUAUACGUCCCGGAACCCUCCUCCGAACGAGCUUCACUGUCAGAUUAUCAUGGCCAAGCUCAAGAGCUGCGAAAGGAAACUUAUGCACUGGAGAGAACUGUUACGGGGUUUUCAAAGAAGCCUCUCUUUUCAUUGGAGGUAUUGGCAUCGAGAGAGCUACUUUUAUCGCUCUCUGAAUCAAUCGCCUUUCAUAGAUUACCCAAUUUGGAGACUUUAGCUGUGAUCACCAAAGCAAAAGGCGCCAAUGUGUAUUCAUGGGAUGACAGAAGAGGGUUUUUGUGCUUUGCUAGGCAAAAGCGAGUCAGCAUCUUCAGGCACGAUGGGGGACGGGGAUUUGUGGAGGUAAGGGAAUUUGGUGUUCCAGAUACUGUGAAGUCCAUGUCUUGGUGUGGUGAAAAUAUUUGUUUAGGGAUUAGAAAGGAGUACAUGAUACUGAAUGCCACUAAUGGUGCAUUGACUGAGGUAUUUCCUUCUGGUAGAUUAGCCCCUCCUUUAGUGGUCUCUCUCCCUUCUGGGGAGCUUCUUCUUGGAAAGGAAAACAUUGGGGUUUUUGUGGACCAAAAUGGCAAGCUUCUUCAAGCAGAGAGGAUUUGUUGGUCGGAGGCCCCUUCUGUCAUUGUCAUUCAGAAACCUUAUGCAAUAGCUCUGCUUCCAAGACGUGUUGAGAUUCGGUCUCUCCGAGUUCCAUAUCCAUUGAUACAGACCAUUGUACUUCAAAAUGUCCGUCAUCUUAUUCAAAGCAAUAAUGCAGUAAUCGUUGCGUUAGACAAUUCUGUAUAUGGGCUCUUCCCUGUUCCACUUGGGGCACAGAUUGUACAGUUAACAGCAUCUGGGAAUUUUGAGGAAGCCUUGGCCUUAUGCAAGCUGCUUCCACCUGAAGAUUCAAGCUUGCGAGCAGCAAAGGAAGGGUCAAUUCAUAUAAGAUAUGCUCACUAUCUUUUUGAGAAUGGGAGCUAUGAAGAGGCUAUGGAACACUUUUUAGCAUCCCAAGUGGAUAUCACAUAUGUCCUUUCUUUGUAUCCAUCUAUUGUUCUUCCCAAGACAUCUAUGCUUCGUGAACCAGAAAAGCUAAUGGACAUUUCUUCAGAUGCUCCAUAUCUCUCAAGAGGUUCAUCUGGAGUAUCGGAUGAUAUGGAAUCCUUAGCUCCACCGCAGUUAACUGAAUUUGAUGAGCAUGCUGCCCUUGAAUCCAAGAAAAUGAGCCAUAAUACUCUCAUGGCUCUCAUUAAGUUCUUGCAGAAAAAGAGAUUCAGUAUAAUUGAAAAAGCCACUUCUGAGGGAACAGAAGAAGUUGUUUUUGAUGCUGUUGGAGAGAAUUUUGGACCGUAUGACUCAAGUAGGUCUAAGAAAUCCAACAAGGGGCGUGGUACAAUUUCCAUUAACUCAGUUGCCAGGGAAAUGGCGUCAAUACUGGAUACGGCACUACUUCAAGCUCUUCUUCUUACUGGACAAUCUUCGGCAGCUUUAGAAUUACUUAGAGGUCUUAACUACUGUGACCUAAAGAUAUGUGAGGAGAUUCUUCAAAAACAGAAUCAUUAUACUGCUUUAUUGGAACUUUAUAAGUGCAACUCCAUGCACCGAGAAUCUCUUAAGCUCUUGCAUCAAUUAGUUGAAGAGUCAAAAUCAAGCCGAGCACAAACUGAGCUUAACUCAAAGUUCAAACCUGAAUCAAUUAUUGAAUAUCUUAAGCCUCUCUGUGGAACGGAACCCAUGCUUGUCCUGGAGUUCUCAAUGCUUGUUCUUGAAAGCUGUCCAACGCAAACUAUUGAGCUUUUCUUGUCUGGGAAUAUCCCUGCAGACUUGGUCAACUCUUAUCUGAAGCAGCAUGCUCCAAGCAUGCAGGGCAGAUAUUUAGAACUUAUGCUUGCAAUGAAUGAAAAUGGAAUCUCUGGAAACCUGCAGAAUGAAAUGGUACAAAUCUAUCUUUCGGAAGUACUUGAAUGGCACACAGAUCUGAGUGCUCAGCAGAAAUGGGAUGAGAAGGCUUAUUCCCCAACAAGGAAAAAAUUAUUGUCUGCUUUGGAGAGUAUCUCAGGUUAUAACCCUGAGGCUUUGUUGCAACGGCUUCCAGCAGAUGCAUUAUAUGAAGAGCGUGCAAUUUUACUGGGGAAAAUGAACCAGCAUGAGCUUGCCUUAUCUCUUUAUGUUCAUAAGGUAUUGUUUUGGUGUAAACUAAUUUGUUUAAGUGAGAUCAUUAACGAGUGACAUCACUCACAGGGAAACCUCAUGUAAGGUUUGCCUUUUAUUUGGGAAUUUUGGGAUAUCCCUACUAGACAUGGGCCCAGACUGGGUUUGGACCAAAACCGGACUGGAACACUCAAACCAGAUUUGAUUGGAACCAUCUUAAACUGGAUCGAAACUGGUUUUUUCACCUUUUUUUUUUUAAGAAAAAAAUUUCACUGUCAGAUUUGACCAAACGGGACCGGAUAUGAACUGGUUCCAGUUCCGGCCUGGGCCUGGAACUUGACCAUGCCAGCCCAUGUCUGAUCCCUGGCCACCCCAAAUGGCAAGGCGUAGAUAGAAAGGACUUCAGUUCUUUAAUUAAGGUUGAUCUAACUCUUUGUUUUAGUGUAUUUAUGAGUAGGUUUCUUCUGUAUUGUGAUUAUUCUUGUUUUGAUUAUCUAUCUUUUCAUUAUUUUUUUUCUUUUCCAAAAAUAUCUGGUUUAGAUUAUUUGACCUUUACAGCUUCAUGUUCCUGAACUUGCAUUGUCCUAUUGUGAUCGGGUUUAUGAGUCUGCAUCUCAUCAACCAUCUGCAAAAUCUUCUGGCAAUAUAUACCUUACUCUUCUGCAAAUUUAUCUGAAUCCCCGGAAGACAAUCAAUAACUUUGAAAAGCUAAUUACAAAUGUAGUGUCGUCUCAUGGUACAAGUAUUACAAAGGUUGGUUCUGGUACAUCAGUUAAAGCUAAAGGAGGUCGUGGAGCUAAGAAAAUUGCUGCAAUAGUGGGUGCAGAGGACAUGCGUUUUAGUCUUAGUAGUACUGACAGUAGUAGAAGUGAUGGUGAUGCAGAUGAAUUUACGGAGGAAGGAGGUUCAGCGAUCAUGCUUGAUGGGGUCCUUGACCUUUUGAGCAGAAGGUGGGACAGAAUCAAUGGAGCUCAGGCACUCAAACUUUUGCCAAAGGAAACUAAAUUGCAGAAUUUGCUUCCUUUUCUUGGACCUCUUAUGAGAAAAUCGAGCGAAGCAUACCGGAAUCUCUUGGUUAUCAAGAGUUUGAGGCAAAGUGAGAACUUGCAGGUGAAAGAGGAAUUGUACAACCAAAGGAAAACAGUAGUAAAGAUCACCAGUGAUAGUAUGUGCUCUCUUUGCAGCAAGAAAAUUGGAACGAGUGUUUUUGCAGUCUAUCCCAAUGGGAAAACACUUGUGCACUUCGUUUGUUUUAAGGACUCGCAGAGUAUGAAAGCUGUGGGUAAAGGCACACCACUAAGGAAGCGAUGAGGCUGUGUAUUCACGUGCAGUGAAUGGCAUCUUUUCCUCUACUUCAACUUGAGAAUGGCAGUUUUUCUUUGCAACAGGUUUAAGCUGCAAAGAUGUUUCGUAAUCAUUAGAUCCUUGAUUGAAACCUGCGUGUUGGCCACUAUGGUAGUGAUGCACCACUUGGCCAUGUUCACAGAGUGUGGCUAGUCGAAAACUGUAGUCUCUGCAUGAAGGGAUGAUGAGAUGGUGAUUUCUCAAUUCUCAUUCGGCAGAGAACCAUAUAUAUUUAAUUUGUGCAUAGUAAUGGAUGUGUGGCUUGCAUUAUGUAAGGCUUUUAGAUUCACUAUGUUUCUAAUAUGAUGAAGGGUGUUUUAAGGUUCCAUAGUCUGAUAAAGUUGCUUCUAUUGUAAAAAUAGUUUGACUUCUAGUUGUAUGUCAAGUACCCCGUUGCAGGUUGUGAAAAUUUUUCCUCCUUGAUAACGAUGGUAUUCUAUAAUUACGGUUGAAUUGAAGACCAAUGAUUAAAAUUUGAUGGAACUUCCUUCAACAGAUAAAAGAUAUGCAUGAAAAAAAAUAGACGCAUUCAUUUCAUUGAUGAUGACUGAUUGUUUACUAGCCCGGUUUGCAAUUUUUGACUCUUGCGAACAAAACUGUAAACCACAACACCAAUUCUUGACCCAUCGCACGGUUUGUCCAUGUGAAAAGCCUCAACAUCAAACCAUUUCCUUGCCCUCUUGAAGAACACGGAAUCCUUCUUCCACCUCCUCAAAUGAGCCAUGACAAACACAUUCUUCUUCUUCUGCUCGCCUACGCCCACUAGCACACGCAGCGUAUAAAGCAGAGGCUCGUAAAGAUGAUCAUGGUAAACCACAUCAGAUGCCAAUAUUACAUCAAAAUCCCUUCCUAUAAUCUCCACAUCACCAUCACCAUCCACUCCCCACCUGAGUGGCGCCACCUUGACGCUCCCGCCUUGAAGAGCCACCGUGUUUGCAUUGGCGUCAACGUUGAAUUGGAGGUUAGGAAUCACGUGAGGUAGGUCAGUUACCGUGACAUUGGCACCGAGAGUGAUAGCUGCUGCGAUUCCGGCGAGGCCAGUGCCGGAACCGAGCUCGAGUACAUUGAGAGGCGAGUUGUUGGAUGAUAAGGCAGCGAGGAUCGAUGAGAGUUGGCUGGUAGCGGAAUGGGAGCGGUGGCGAUCAAGGAGAGUGAGGAGCGUGGUUGCUGCCGGCCAGAGUUGGAAGGAGAGGCCUUGCGAUGGGAGCUGCCUGAUGAGUAUCGUAGAGUCAAUAGAAGAGAGGUAAUGGCGGUGCUGCAGCUGUUGUUUGGCUGCGCCGUCUGCCAGCAUGUCGAAUCCGUUUUCAUGAUAUUCCGGUAGAAGAAGAGUGGAGAUGGGAUCUAUGUCCUGUAGGUCUUCUUGCUCUGCCAUGCGCCGUCAACGCCGUUGCUUUCGGAUUCAAGGUUGCUGGAAACUCGGCGUGUAGCUAGGGCUUUUAUUUUGAAAGCCACUUGAGACAUUAUCCAGUGCUUCUCAACCAACUUAACCAAUAGGAGUCGACAAUUUGGUUAGUGUGACACGUCAGAAUCCGGCUGGCAAAAAAU